GCGUCCUGGCCUAUGCUUUCUCCGCCCGCCUGUGCCCAGGGUAACAGGGGAGUCCGGCAGGACACACAGCAACCUCCCUCUCAGUCCAGGAGGGCCGUCCCGAGUACAGGGCUGGCUCUUGAAGGCAUGUGAGGGCAAU